rnacentral:tRNA from 1 species
UUAUUUCCCUUUAAUUAAAUUAUCCUUAUCUCAACCCGUGAGUUGUUCUUUGCUUUGCUUCUCUCCCUCCUCAUCUAAAGGAGGGGGAGUGAGAGAGCAGUUGUGGGGUUUAGUUGCCCAGCACGGUAAAACCACCACAGCAAGAAGGCAAAUACUGUGUUGUAGCUGUGUGUGUGUGUGUCAGAUGCUGCAACACCAUGGUCUGUAGCGACAGCCACAGGCAUCGAACCUAUUUACACACGACAAAGCUAAGAUUAUAGAUACUUGGAAACUCGACAAGCAACUAGCUUCAGAACAAGCUUUACACGACAUACUGGGAGAAAAAUGAAAAGUGGAGAUGCCGGGGAUUGAACCCGGGGCCUCAUACAUGCAAAGCAUGCGCUCUACCACUGAGCUACAUCCCCUUCAUACUUAGCGCUCUCCCAGCAGUGUAGACAUAGCUCAUCCAGCGUCCACAGCGCCGUGCAGCCCUGCCGCCUCUGCUCCUCGCCGCCCCCUGCACCCAGCAGCACGGCCGGGCCAGGGAGCGGAGGCCUGCAGCGCUCCGGCCUUAUAGUGGCACCCGGGGAGAACUUUCCCAUGUAGCUACUGUCCUCGUUAGUAUAGUGGUGAGUAUCCCCGCCUGUCACGCGGGAGACCGGGGUUCGAUUCCCCGACGGGGAGGUUGUGCUGUUUUGUGCUCGGCGGUGGUGGUGCAAUGUGACCGAGGCCGUUACUUAGUGGGACGGGGAAGAACAUGCUUUCUCCAGGGAUCCUCACUCGAUCGCUAGUGAAUCUCUCUGCCGCCGACCGGGGCUGUAGCCCGUUCCCGGUCGAGGGAAGGUCUACUUCGGGUCGGGUUUGCAGGCCAUUCCCGGCAGGGACAGCAGCAGGACGCGGUGGGUGCCUGGGCAGCGGCUGGCUUGAUGGUGAGGUGUCCCGCGGGGGCAAUGGUCUGCCAGUGGCUGACAUGGUAGAAAGAUGUGCUUUUCUAUUCCAUUUUUGUGAAGUUAGAGGCAGUGCCAAUUUAAAUUUUGACUGAGGCUCUGCAAUGGUGUGUUGAGGAAUUUUUGAAACAGCAAGGAGGCCAUGACUUGCUGCAGCUGAGCAAACCAAGAUACCAGGACGACUACGAGGAAUUCCCAUGACGAUGUUUUCUUAUCGCCCGACUGAGGAAUUAAAAAUAUUGUUGCAAGCAGCUGGCACUUCCUUCAAGGACUACACUACGUGACUGCUAAUCACAAAGGGGUUGUUUUCUUCCAGGUGGGGUUGUUUUCUUGCAGUUGUUUCUCUGAGUGCUUUCAACCAAUAAUCUUGUGUGAAACUCUAUCCGCCCCUGCUAAAUUUGCUAUAAGAGUCAGACUAUUUAGGUAAUAAAGAGAGAGCAUGAUAUGACCGUAUUGUAGUG